rnacentral:rRNA from 1 species
AUUGAACGCUGGCGGCAUGCUUUACACAUGCAAGUCGAACGGUAACAGGGUGCUUGCACCGCUGACGAGUGGCGAACGGGUGAGUAAUGCGUCGGAACGUGCCGAGUAGUGGGGGAUAACGCAUCGAAAGGUGUGCUAAUACCGCAUACGUACUGAGGUAGAAAGUGGGGGACCUUCGGGCCUCACGCUAUUCGAGCGGCCGACGUCUGAUUAGCUAGUUGGUGAGGUAAAGGCCCACCAAGGCGACGAUCAGUAGCGGGUCUGAGAGGAUGAUCCGCCACACGGGGACUGGGACACGGCCCAGACUCCUGCGGGAGGCAGCAGGGGGGAAUUUUGGACAAUGGGCGCAAGCCUGAUCCAGCCAUGCCGCGUGUCUGAAGAAGGCCUUCGGGUUGUAAAGGACUUUUGUCCGGGAGCAAAUACCCAGUGCUAAUAACGCUGGGGGCUGAGAGUACCGGAAGAAUAAGCACCGGCUACUACGUGCCAGCAGCCGCCGUAAGAC